rnacentral:rRNA from 1 species
GAUGAACGCUAGCUACAGGCUUAACACAUGCAAGUCGAGGGGUAACGAGAGGAAAGCUUGCUUUCCUUGUCGACGACCGGCGCACGGGUGAGUAACGCGUAUCCAACCUGCCCCCAACUAGGGAAUAACCUUGCGAAAGUAAGACUAAUACCCUAUAAUUUCCUCAGAUGACAUCUGACGAGGAAUAAAGAUUUAUCGGUUGUGGAUGGGGAUGCGUCUGAUUAGCUUGUUGGCGGGGUAACGGCCCACCAAGGCAACGAUCAGUAGGGGUUCUGAGAGGAAGGUCCCCCACAUUGGAACUGAGACACGGUCCAAACUCCUACGGGAGGCAGCAGUGAGGAAUAUUGGUCAAUGGGCGGAAGCCUGAACCGGCCAAGUAGCGUGCAGGAUGACGGCCCUAUGGGUUGUAAACUGCUUUUAUACAGGAAUAAAGUUAGCCACGUGUGGUUAUUCGUAGGUACUGUAUGAAUAAGGACCGGCUAAUUCCGUGCCAGCAGCCGCAGUAA